rnacentral:rRNA from 1 species
CCUACGGGAGGCUGCAGUGAGGAAUAUUGGUCAAUGGGCGGAAGCCUGAACCAGCAAAGUAGCGUGAAGGAUGACGGCCCUACGGGUUGUCAACUGCUUUUAUACGGGAAUAACGCGCCUUACGUGUAGGGCUUUGCAUGUACCGUAUGAAUAAGGAACGGCUAAUUCCGUGCCAGCAGCCGCGGUAAAACGGAAGGUCCGGGCGUUAGCCGGAUUUAUUGGGGUGAAAGGGGGCGUAGGCCGCAUGUCAAGCGUGCUGUGAAAUGUCCGGGCUCAACCCGGGCCUUGCCGCUCGAACUGGCGUGCUUGAGUCCGCGGAGAGCAUGCGGAAUUCGUCGUGUAGCGGUGAAAUGCUUAGAUAUGACGAAGAACCCCGAUUGCGAAGGCAGCUUGCUGCAGCGGAACUGACGCUGAUGCUCGAAAGCGCGGGUAUCGAACAGGAUUAGAUACCCUAGUAGUC